rnacentral:rRNA from 1 species
CGCGUAGGUGGUUCGUUAAGUUGGAUGUGAAAUCCCCGGGCUCAACCUGGGAACUGCAUUCAAAACUGACGAGCUAGAGUAUGGUAGAGGGUGGUGGAAUUUCCUGUGUAGCGGUGAAAUGCGUAGAUAUAGGAAGGAACACCAGUGGCGAAGGCGACCACCUGGACUGAUACUGGCACUGAGGUGCGAAAGCGUGGGGAGCAAACA